rnacentral:lncRNA from 1 species
UGAAACCCCCCCCCCCCCACCCCACCCACCCCCACCCGCCGCUAGCCACCGCCACCCCCAACCCGAUGUUUACAGCCAUUAGCAUAAUCCAUAGCACUCUCAAGGAUGCAACCUACCGAUCUGUCUGUCAUGGCCAGGGAGUUUAGUAUUAUUUCAAUGAUUCAUUUACUAUGAAACAGAAGGGAUAUGACUCCCUAUGUCUGUUAGAAGUCGUUCAACCUUUCCUAGUUGCGUUGGUCGUCCCGUUGAGGGACUUAUGAUGCUGCCUGUACCUUUUUGCCUGACGUUUUCUAGAAGUUAUUAAAACUUAUCUCCCAACAAAAUGAGAAAAGUGAUAUUUCUUUCUGUCCGCCAUUUUGGAGCUUGUAUUUCACUAAUAGUUUGACCUUUAACCUAAAAUACUCUCAAUAAAAAAUGUACGAGGCUACUAAAAUAACACGAAGACUUUUGUAGUCAUAUUCAUUGUACAGCAGUUAACGUGUUUAUUUAUUAAUUACAAUUUUUCUCACAAUAGUCUUUUUUUUUUAAAUAUAUAAAACUUGACUUGUCACAUUGUCAUGGAAACAUGUGGCCAAUAAGAAACAUUACCUAGAAUUUGAUAUUGACCAGUUUUUUCUAUCAGGCACUACUUGUUCCACUAACUCCUCCCCCAUGACUCUAAGCAUCUAUUCUGACAUCACAUGGUUAUUGACCUUUUGUUAUUGUAUGUAUGAGUUGUCAAGCAUUCUCUUAUACCUUUUGUUUUUGCUAAUUAUGUUUUCAUUUUGUGUUUUUCUUAUGUUGAAUUCUGUUGCUUUUUUUCCAUUCAAACACAAUUCCUUCUCUUUUUAUCUUUUUCCUUGGUCCUGUACUACCCUGUUUCUGUCUCGCUCCCUACCUCAUUUCUCCCACAUCCUUCUCUGUGCCCUGUUCUCUCCUGGUCUUUUCUUUUUUUUUUUUUUUCAUUCCCUUGCUCUUCCCUGCUCCCAUCGCCGUGGUAGCCAACAGGGCCUGGUUGCCAGGGGCAACCUCUACAGCCGCCACGUCAACACCCGGGGUUUUGGGCAGUUGUUGGAGACACAGCCGAACAUCUUCAUACUGCCAGGUUUGAGACCAGUGUUGAGAGACAGAGAGACUGACAUCGGAGGACAGAGAGAGCCACUGGGACACAGAGACAGGUUUGACAGCCAAGGAGUCCUAACUCACCCUCACAUAGAAACACUAUUAGAAGGUUAUACAUCUCACAGAUGUGGGGCGGCAGGGUAGCCUAGUGGUUAGAGUGUAGAGGCGGCAGGGUAGCCUAGUGGUUAGAGUGUAGAGGCGGCAGGGUAGCCUAGUGGUUAG